rnacentral:lncRNA from 1 species
CCUUAUCUAGGAGAUCCUUCAACUGUUUAUUCAAUUCUCUGAGUUCUUCUGGUGCCAUUCUGUAUGGCAGAAUAGAUAUAUGCUAAGUAUCUGGAAGAAGAUCAAUGCCGAAGUCUAUUUCCCUUUCAAGAGGAAUUCCUGAAAGAUCUUCGGGAAAGAUAUCUGAAUAUUCAUUCACAACAGGGACUAAUUCAAGACUGGAAACUUCGGAGCUAGAGUCUUUAACAUGAUAAAAUGAUAGACACAUCCUUUGAUAUUAUUUUUCGUGCCCGAAGGUAG